AUGCUUACUCUAGUGUCACCACACUAAUGACUUGAGACUCAUCAUCCCAUAAGAAAAGUACAGCAUACACUGAUCUAUCCGGAUUUAUCACCGCCCUCGUGAUACUCCUAUGAUCAGGAGCAUUUAAGAAUUAAUUACAGAAGAAUAUAUGUCUCAAAUUUCUAACUUCUUAGAAAUUUAAUUCUUCUACUAUUAAUUCUAUGGACGAUUCAUAAAUAUGCAUUUGGCAAUAAUAUGAAUGAAGAAUGCCAGAUUUAAUUAUAAAAGAAAAGUACACUGAUAUUAUCCCUUUAAGUUGUGACAGAGAUUGGCUUAUAGGGCAUAUAACUAACAAUUACAACAUUUAUCUCUAGAUACAUUUUACAUCACAAUUACAUAUUUCCAACUUUCAAAUUACAAUCUAGUUAUUACAACACUUAAUACAAGUUUAUUCUUUGUCUUUAAACCCCUAAGCUAGACUAUCUUGGGGUACUGCUAUCUCUGAUCUCGGGGUAGGGCGCUAUCUAUGGAGCUACGCCCUUUUCUCGCGCCGCCGCGCCGCUCGCGUAUGAACCUG
rnacentral:lncRNA from 1 species